rnacentral:lncRNA from 1 species
GAUGGCAUCACGUACGACUUGUCAGAAAUGUUAGCAAUCGCCACUUGUGCUGUGUCAAUGUGUACGCACGCAUUCUUCUUAUCCAACGACAGCUACACAAGGCCCUCCUACAGAAAAUUUUAGUUCCUUUAGUGCCACUUUGUUCUGUCAGUCAAGAGACCAUUGGUAGUGGAUGAGGAUAGCCGACUAGUCAAAAUAACUUGACAACAGUCAAUAAUCUUAUCAACUUUAUACAUUUUAAUUAAUAAUUAGUCAAAUAAGCCCACUUGUAAUGAUAAAUAAACAUGGGAAAUAACACGUCUUAGGCCAUGUAUGGAUCUCAUUAUGAGUAUAGAAACUGGCUAAAAGAUCAAAAUGAAAUCCAAAUACCCGAUAAUUGUGGUAAAAAUCUAACCAAACACAUUGUUGUAAUUCCCUUAUCUUCCUCCACUCUACUAUUUUGAAUUUUUGAUAUUAUAGACGCAACCAACCCUCUAAAGUCUAACCAUCUUAUAAUUCAGGGAUCCAAACAGCACAUCUAUUCAUAAUCUAUAAUCCAGAUUCUUAUAUAACCUAAAGCCACUAUCUAGAUUCUUAUAAUUUGUAUAAGAUCCAAACAAGGCAUACCGUCUUAUGGGUCAAAAGACCUCCUACGGAGACCGACCUUCGUCUAAAAAAUAACGACUUGGUCAUUAUGGGUCAAAAGAUACGUAUUGACGAGGACAUUACCAUGAUGGAUAUACAUGAGACAUUCUCGUCACUAAGUUACAAGUCAUCGUCAACUUAGUUUUCGCGUUCGGUUGAGAUUCAGCCGACCACCCUGCAC